rnacentral:lncRNA from 1 species
AUGCUUCCCCGGCCACCAGGAAAAGGAGGCCUGGUCUGGGACAGCCUGAGCCCGGCUCCCACAGCGAGAGCUCUGGUGGGCCCCGCUCUGGCUCCCCAUGGGGACACAACCCUGCCUCCUCUCUUCGGAGGCAUCCAGGUACAGCAGCCAUCCCAGACCUCGUCCCCCAAACCCGGCUGUGGUCAAACCACCCCCCCCAAGGGCUUAUCUGACACCCUUAGGCUGACACCCUUAUCUGACACCCUCACAGCCUCUGCUCCCCUGGGACCAGGGAGCCACAAAGCUUUCCAAAGAAUGCAGACUCCAGGGCAGGGCAGAGCCAGGGCCCUGGGAGGAAUUCCCCGCACAGCUGCAGGUUGCACAACGGGCCAGGUCUCUACCUGCCUCUGCAGUGUUGCAAGGACCCACCGCCCUUCAGGCUGGAGAACAGAGCGAGGGCAGAGGCCGGUGCUUCCCCCACCCUCAGGGGGGCAGGGUCCGGGCCUCCCAGACCUCGCAGCACUCAGCCCUGGCCACAGAGGACGCCUUGCAAACCUCUCUGCAGUUGCCAGGGCUCCCUGCCCCCUACAAGUCAGACUGGCCGCCUGGCCCAGCUGCGGAGCUCAGAUGCCCAGACCGCCAGGCACCGCUCACCCUGACCCUGGGGACCCACAGCACAGAGCCUGGGACCUGGGCCUGCACUUCCCCAGGCCUUCUCCCGCCAGCCCGUUCAAGGAGGGGGGAUGCAGGGUAACCGGCAGCGGCAUCGGCGAACAAUUCUGGAGGAGUGAUGAUGACCACGGACACGGCCUCGCCAUUCAGCUCCUGGUGACAGAGCUCAAUCCCAGUAGCCGCGGACGCCGGCAGGCCCAGGACGGCAACGGCACGGCACACACCUCCCUGCCCCGAUCUCCCUGCUCGCCAUCACUGCACCUCUCCGAGGCCCCAGAACUUCUCCCACUGAGCCCCUGGUGGCCACGAUCAGUCAGUCAGAGAGGCCUGCGGGCUGGGGCCUGCGGGCUGGGGCAGACCUGA